UCUGUUUGAUCCUGCCGGAGGUUACUACUAUCGAGGUUCGACUAAGCCAUGCGAGUCGAAUGUAGCAAUACAUGGCGAACUGCUCAGUAACACGUGGACAACCUGCCCUUAGGUUGGGGAUAAACCCGGGAAACUGGGUAUAAUACCCGAUAGGUCUCGAUUGCUGGAAUGCAUCGAGAUUUAAAGCUCCGGCGCCUAAGGAUGGGUCUGCGGCCUAUCAGGUAGUAGUGGGUGUAGCGUACCUACUAGCCUACGACGGGUACGGGUUGUGAGAGCAAGAGCCCGGAGAUGGAUUCUGAGACACGAAUCCAGGCCCUACGGGGUGCAGCAGGCGCGAAAACUUUACAAUGCUGGCAACAGCGAUAAGGGAACCUCGAGUGCCAGGUUACAAAUCUGGCUGUCGAGAUGCCUAAAAAGCAUUUCAUAGCAAGGGCCGGGCAAGACCGGUGCCAGCCGCCGCGGUAACACCGGCGGCUCGAGUGGUAACCGUUAUUAUUGGGUCUAAAGGGUCUGUAGCCGGCCGGAUAAGUCUCUUGAGAAAUCUGGCAGCUUAACUGUCAGGCUUUCAGGAGAUACUGUCUGGCUCGAGGCCGGGAGAGGUGAGAGGUACUUCAGGGGUAGGGGUGAAAUCUUGUAAUCCUUGAAGGACCACCAGUGGCGAAGGCGUCUCACCAGAACGGACCUGACGGCAAGGGACGAAAGCUAGGGGCACGAACCGGAUUAGAUACCCGGGUAGUCCUAGCCGUAAACGAUACUCGCUAGGUGUCGGCCACGGUGCGACCGUUGUCGGUGCCGUAGGGAAGUCGUGAAGCGAGCCACCUGGGAAGUACGGCCGCAAGGCUGAAACUUAAAGGAAUUGGCGGGGGAGCACCACAACGGGUGGAGCUUGCGGUUUAAUUGGAUUCAACGCCGGAAAUCUUACCGGGACCGACAGCAAUAUGAAGGCCAGGCUGAAGACUUUGCCGGAUUAGCUGAGAGGUGGUGCAUGGCCGUCGUCAGUUCGUACUGUGAAGCAUCCUGUUAGGUCAGGCAACGAGCGAGACCCA
rnacentral:rRNA from 1 species